GGGGAUCUGGCCGAGUGGUUAAGGCGUUGUGUUUAGGUUCUUCGUAAGAAGAUGUAAAUCCGUUCCGCAAUGGGCAACCGCGUGGGUUCGAAUCCCACGGUCCUCA